rnacentral:rRNA from 1 species
UUUAUAGCCACACCAUCCUGAAUGUGUUCGGUCUCAUCCAAUAUCAAAAGCUAAGCAAAGUUGGCAUGGUUAGUAUUUGGUGGCAAAGCAAAAAGCUCACAAAA